rnacentral:lncRNA from 1 species
CUGUGAGGAAAUGAUACAUAGUUUAAGUUCUGAAGAGUGAGCAAACAUUAGUCAAGUAUGAGGAUGGGGAAAAGGGAGCAUUCUAGAUAAAGAGAAUGGUUUGUGGGAAGGCCCAGAAAUAUGAAAAAGCACGUCAAGGUCAAGAAACUGAAAAGCCACAGUGGCUGGAGCUUGGAGAGUGAGGAAGUUACCGGUUGUGAGAUUUUUUUUUUUAACUCUCUGGCUGCUCUGGAGUAGAGGGAGCAAGAGAGGACACAGGGACCCCUGGAUGAGGCCAUUACAGUGAUCCAAGUGAAAGAUAAUGGUGGCCUGGGUGAUGGUUGUGACAUCAGGCUUGGGGCAUAGUAGGCAAAUUCCAGAAAUGUUACAGGAGGUAGAAUUGAUAAGAAUUGCUGCUUGGUUGGUUAUGGGAAACAGGAAGUUUUCAAGAAUGACUCCCACAUUUCUGACUAAAUGGUGGUGUUACUCACUGAACUAGACGACUUGGCGAGAAAGUUUAGGAGGGAAGGACAUGAGUUCUGUUUCACCAGAGUGGAUUUCAGGGUACCUGUGAGACAUCCCAGAUGUCAACACUCCCAUUGGCCAAACCCAAUAGGAAGCCACAGGGCAGAGAGCUGGGUGGAAAAGGGUGGAGAGUGUGAUCAACAGGGAGCAAAUAGAAAAUAGCAGGCACAUUGGGACUUUCAUUAGGGUCUUCCUGACUCCAAAACCCAUGCUAUUAAACCCUGGGGCUCCCAGGGUCAGAGCAAGAAGGGGUUGCUCAGGGUAAGUCCCUGACGUGAUGGAGUACACAUGGAAACCGGAGCAGAAGCCCAGCCAAGCUUGCAAGUCCUGGACACCAGACUCUCUAGGGAAAGGCUCACUUGGCAAGGAGCCAACUACUCAUAAGGGAUUGAGGUCUCAGUUCAACAUAGUCUGUGAGGAAGUGAAUCCUGCCAACAACCAGUUGAGUAAGCUUAGAAGUAAAUCCUCCCUCGUUGAGUCUUCAAGUGAGAUGACAUCCCCAGCUGACACUUUGACUGCCGCCUUCUGAGAGACCCUGAAGCAGAAGACCCAGCUAAAGUGUGCCCGUAGAACCCGUAGAAGCUGACCCAUCGAAAUUGUGAGAGAAUAAAUGUG